AAAGAAUUAAUUUAAAUUUAAAAUUUUAUUCUGUCAGAAUAAAUAUACUUAUAAAAGUAUUCUUUU
rnacentral:tRNA from 1 species